rnacentral:rRNA from 1 species
UACAGAGGGUGCAAGCGUUAAUCGGAAUUAUUGGGCGUAAAGGGCUCGUAGACGGUCCAUCGCGUCGGGAGUGAAAAGCUGGGGCUUAACCCCAGUCCUGCUUCCGAUACGGGUGGACUAGAGGUAGGUAGGGGAGAACGGAAUUCCUGGUGUAGCGGUGAAAUGCGCAGAUAUCAGGAGGAACACCGGUGGCGAAGGCGGCUCACUGGACCGGUUCUGACGCUGAGGCGCGAAAGCGUGGGGAGCAAACGGG